AGACAAUCAGGGGAAAACACAGAGCAGGCGUGGGCUUGGAGUGCAGGGAGACUGAAAACAAAGGACUAGUCCAGCUUCAACUGAAAGACCAGGCUAUCAUGUUAUGGAAACAACUUCUGAGUAAGGUCCAGGAUCUGCUCCAGGUCCAGGCCCGACUCCAGGCCUGGAUUCUCGCUCACCUUGAAAACACAUCAAACAGGUUCUGGAGAAUCCUGUGAGGUCCUGGAGGAGCUAGGAGUCAAGGGACUGAGACCAGUUUUAUCCAAAGGAGCAGAACAAAGAGGAGAGAGCUGCAAGAGGCUGGAGCUGAUCCAGAGUCAGUUUAUCAAAGGAAACAAAGAGGACCACUGGGACCUGCUGCUGGAACACACACACAGUCUCUGAGACACACUGCAAGACACAUUAUCUGUCUCAGAUAGACACACACAUCAAGACAACAACAGAAGCUGGUGAUGAACACACCUGCAGACAGAAGGUUCUAGGUGUUCUUAUUGUUCUCAGCUGGUACAUCAAAACGUUUAUAUUCUAGUCUUUAGGUUCUGAUGAAUUAAACCCAUUUAAACAGGUGACAUUAUGAUCUUCAAGUUCAGCUGGUGUCUGAGUGGGGGUGGUCUCCCAGUACCAUCAACAAGACCCAUUUAUGGGGGAACCCAGGAGAUCCCUGUUUUAUUGGAACAAGCAGAUUUACGAAGACCAAGAACCCUCCUGAAAAUAAUAUUAAUACACCUGAGAUUCUGGAGAGAUUCUACUGUGGUUCUGUUAACAUCCUAGUGAAAAUCUGCUGAUAGUCUUCAGACAUUCUGCUGAUGUUCUGCUAUAGAAAUUCUGCUGUGGUUUUGUUGUAAUAAUCCCUUGCCUUGCUUCUGUGGUAGUGGUGCCACAGCUCCACCUGCAGGCUGCAAGCGGAACUGACAGAACAUCAUAUAACUCUAAGCUAUUGCAACUGACCAGGUCUGACCCAGUGUUUAUGCUCAGAACCUUAGAACCUCCUCUGAAACAGAGACCCGACAGUAUCUGCAAGCAGACAAAUUGAUCAUUAUUGAACAGUCAGACGAGGAUAUGGGGAGGACCACAUACAGGAGAAACUGUUUCUCUCCAAGUUGGGUCAGAACCACUACAGGAUCCAGACUAGAAACCAGUUGAGUCCCGUCACACCUGAUUCUGGUUUUGGAUCCACUCCAGGAAAAUCUCAAUGAUGUUGAAGAGCUUCCAACAGACACAGAUCAAAUGGACAUGUGCUGGACAUCAGAUGGACAUCUGCUGGACAUG